UGGGGAAUUUUGCACAAUGGGGGAAACCCUGAUGCAGCGACGCCGCGUGAUUUAGAAGGCCUUCGGGUUGUAAAAAUCUUUUCUAUGGGAAGAAAAUGACAGUACCAUAGGAAUGAGGACCGGCUAAUUACGUGCCAGCAGCCGCGGUAAUACGUAAGGUCCGAGCGUUGUCCGGAAUCAUUGGGCGUAAAGGGUACGUAGGCGGGUAAGCAAGUUAGAAGUGAAAUCCUAUAGCUCAACUAUAGUAAGCUUUUAAAACUGCUCAUCUUGAGUUAUGGAAGGGAAAGUGGAAUUCCUAGUGUAGCGGUGAAAUGCGCAGAUAUUAGGAGGAAUGCCGGUGGCGAAGGCGACUUUCUGGCCAUAACCUGACGCUGAGGUACGAAAGCGUGGGUAGCAAACAGG
rnacentral:rRNA from 1 species